AAGUCGUAACAAGGUUUCCGUAGGUGAACCUGCGGAAGGAUCAUUAUUGAAACAUUGUAAAGGGGAGUUGAGCUGGCCCUUCAAGGGCAAGUGCUCGCUUUCCUUUCAAUCUUCAUCCACCUGUGCACUUUCUGUAGAGUAUUUCUGAGAAAUCUGAGCCCUUUAAGUAGGGUUCUAAGUAUCAGAAGUUCUCUAUGUCUUUAUAAACUAUGAAUGUAUGUCGUUGAAUGUCUUUUAUAAAGGGACCUUGAUUGGACCUUUUAAAAAACUAUACAACUUUCAGCAACGGAUCUCUUGGCUCUCGCAUCGAUGAAGAACGCAGCGAAAUGCGAUAAGUAAUGUGAAUUGCAGAAUUCAGUGAAUCAUCGAAUCUUUGAACGCACCUUGCGCCUCUUGGUAUUCCGAGAGGCAUGCCUGUUUGAGUGUCAUUAAAUUCUCAACCUCAAAGACUUUUGUUGAUGAGGCUUGGAUGUGGAGGCUUUUGCUGGCUCUUUAACGGAGUCGGCUCCUCUGAAAUGCAUUAGUGAAGACUGUUUGCAGUCCACAUUGGUGUGAUAAUUAUCAGCGCUAUUGUGGCUACAAGCUUGUUGUAGUGUUCGUUUGGAAAGUGCAUGAAUAAUGCUCUCUCUGCUUUACUUGACCUACACAAGUAUAGUAUUCGCUUCAAACCGUCCUAAGUUACUGGACAAAAUACUUGAUUAUUUUGACCUCAAAUCAGGUAGGACUACCCGCUGAACUUAA
rnacentral:rRNA from 1 species